UGUUCGUGUUUAUUUUUUUAGUUCAACGAGGGAAAUCGUUCAAGAUAACAAUCUGUUCAUGCUUUACUUUUUAGUUCAAAGAGGGAAACCGUUCAUUCCAAGUAUCAGUUAAUGGGAUUUUUAUGUUAAAGGAAGGAAAUCGUUCAUGUUUAGAAUCCGUUCAUGCUUUAUUAUUUAGGAUUCUGGGAUAUGAUUCUGGGAUAUUUGUCAUUCAGUUCAUUAGGUAGUAUGACGAAAAUCAUUCUCAAAUGUUAGAUUCUAAUUCUUUUUCAUUAUUCAGUAUUAACAUUAUGCAUUGGUUUUACAUUUAAGUUCUGACAUGUUAGAAAAAUUUCCAUACUACUUAUACACUGGUUUUAAUUUAAUAUAUAUAUGUGUGUUCAAAAUGGGUCGACCUUCAAGCAUCCGUGAAAUAAUCACUACUCAGAUUGUGUUGAACAAGUUUAACGAGCAUCAGGUUCCAUUGGCUAGACAAUUUAUUGCUAAACAUGCUCCACACCUCCUUCAUUGACCAAAAUUCACAUCUUCUUCUAGUAGUAAAAGAUGAAAAUCCACCAAAGUAUUAGCAAGACAAGAACACACCAGCAGCUAUCCAGGAAAUGCUUCUCCUACAAGGCAAGAAGAGGCACAUAACAUUUGGGAAUGAAAGCAUGAAAAUUGAGUUUCAGUGAAUCAGAACAAUAGUUAGGGGGAUUAGGCAAAAAAUAACAAAUGGGCAUGUGCUGUGUUUGAAGUGAUAAACAUGAAUUCAGUGUACCUUGGUUGGAAUUAUUUCUGUCUAUUCUUGUCAGAACAUACUGUCAAUAUUUCACAUUCCUGUGUUUCUCCCUAUAGGAGUUCAUUUCACUACUUAGUUACAAACUGUAUUCAUGGUCACUACUUAGUUUCUAGGCAAUGCAGAAAUGUGACAGCACGAACUGUAUUCAUGGUCAUGCAGAAAAAGCCCCCCGAUUCUAGAAGAAACAGUCACAGAGAAUAAGCUAGCAACCAUCGAAACAGAAGAAAA